UUCUGGAAAUUUAAAGCGUAACAAGGUUUCCGUAGGUGAACCUGCGGAAGGAUCAUUACAGUAUUCUUUUGCCAGCGCUUAACUGCGCGGCGAAAAACCUUACACACAGUGUCUUUUUGAUACAGAACUCUUGCUUUGGUUUGGCCUAGAGAUAGGUUGGGCCAGAGGUUUAACAAAACACAAUUUAAUUAUUUUUACAGUUAGUCAAAUUUUGAAUUAAUCUUCAAAACUUUCAACAACGGAUCUCUUGGUUCUCGCAUCGAUGAAGAACGCAGCGAAAUGCGAUAAGUAAUAUGAAUUGCAGAUUUUCGUGAAUCAUCGAAUCUUUGAACGCACAUUGCGCCCUCUGGUAUUCCAGAGGGCAUGCCUGUUUGAGCGUCAUUUCUCUCUCAAACCCCCGGGUUUGGUAUUGAGUGAUACUCUUAGUCGGACUAGGCGUUUGCUUGAAAAGUAUUGGCAUGGGUAGUACUAGAUAGUGCUGUCGACCUCUCAAUGUAUUAGGUUUAUCCAACUCGUUGAAUGGUGUGGCGGGAUAUUUCUGGUAUUGUUGGCCCGGCCUUACAACAACCAAACAAGUUGACCUCAAAUACAGGUAGAAGCCCAGGCCCA
rnacentral:rRNA from 1 species